rnacentral:ncRNA from 2 species
CAAUGCAAUAGAGGUUGCGGCAAAUCACAAAAAUUCUGGAGUUCACGUAGACUUUGAAGGAAUCAUAAGGAUUGUCGCCGAAAUGGAUAGAUAGACGUGCUAUCUAUCUGUUGGGCUAUAAGAGAAUAUCUUGUAGACUGUCCUGGUAGUCCCCAGGGAGCGCUAUAUGAUUU